AGGAUUCCAUCCCUUUGACAAAAUAUCGUUUCAUCGUUCCAAGAAAAGCAUCGGUCGACCUGCGGUACGGCGGUGCUGAGGACAAACUAUGGUCUCUCUUAUAGGGAGAGAUAUAUAUAGAGAGAGAGGGAAGGAGGGGGUAGUUGAAUUCACUUGAUGAAUGGCGAGGAGUGGGCAGCUCGGUUGUGAACCAGCAGUGGGCUUAUUGACGUGUUCGUCGAAGAAGAGGAAGGAGUACAAGGUCACAAACAGGCUUCAGGAAGGGAAGAGACCCCUUUAUGCCAUCGCCUUCAACUUCAUUGACGCCCGCUACUACAACAUCUUCUCCACCGUUGGUGGUAACAGGGUGACAAUUUACCAAUGCCUGGAUGGAGGCGUUGUUGCUGUGCUGCAAGCAUAUGUUGAUGAAGAUAAGGAUGAGUCAUUCUACACUUUAAGCUGGGCAUGUGAUUUGGAUGGGACUCCAUUCCUUGUUUCUGGUGGAAGCAAUGGAAUUAUUCGUGUUAUUGAUGCUGGCAGUGAAAAGAUACACAAGAGUUUUGUUGGCCAUGGAGACUCCAUCAAUGAGAUCAGGACGCAACCAUUGAAGCCAUCCCUCAUAGUCUCAGCCAGCAAAGAUGAAUCAGUUCGGCUGUGGAAUGUACAAACUGGGAUUUGUGUUUUGAUAUUUGCUGGAGCUGGAGGCCAUCGAAAUGAAGUUUUGAGUGUCGACUUCCAUCCCUCUGACAUAUACCGAAUUGCAAGCUGUGGUAUGGAUAACACUGUUAAGAUCUGGUCAAUGAAAGAGUUCUGGACAUAUGUAGAGAAGUCUUUCACGUGGAGUGAUCUACCAUCUAAGUUUCCAACGAAAUAUGUGCAAUUUCCUGUAUUCCUUGCUCAAGUUCAUUCUAAUUAUGUUGAUUGCAAUAGAUGGCUUGGAGAUUUCAUUUUAUCAAAGAGUGUGGAUAAUGAAAUAGUUUUGUGGGAACCAUCUAUGAAGGAGCAGAGUUCUGGUGAGGGAGUUUUUGAUAUUCUACAGAAAUACCCAGUGCCUGAGUGCGACAUUUGGUUCAUCAAGUUUUCGUGUGAUUUUCACUUUAAUGCUGCAGCAGUAGGGAAUAGGGAAGGAAAGAUUUAUGUAUGGGAACUCCAGUCGAGUCCUCCGACUCUCAUAGCCCGGUUAGGACAUGUUCAGUGCAAGUCUCCUAUCAGGCAGACAGCUAUGUCAUAUGAUGGAAGCACCAUACUUAGUUGCUGUGAAGACGGGACAAUAUGGCGUUGGGACGUUGUCCAGUAAACCUGACAUUUAUUUGCAUCUUUUCCCUGCCUCUGGAGCCCAAAUUCGUAGUUUUGGUGUGCCUCAACCAAUGAAGCUGGCUGAUUGUCCCUGAAGUGCCUGAUGAUAAGGGGCUACAAAUGGUUAGUAUAGUUCAGACUAGUACAAUCAUCAGAGGCACUUACAUUUAGACAGAAGUGGUAUCCUGAAGUUUAUAAUCGCGUUAACAACGCAUUUGAAAUGUUGUCUAAGUUUGUACAUAUAGACAUAGAUGAUAUAGAAGCCAUUAUGGAAAAUUUACAACACGAAGCUGCACAUGACAAACCCCGAAAAGAUGUAGUAGGUGAAGGUAGUCGAGCUGCAGAAGACUUGGCUCCAUCCACACAACCUACGGUUGUGGAGCCUAGAAGACAUGAUACGAGAAAGAAACAGUAGCAGCCCAAGAUAAGGCGACCGAUGUAAUGAU